rnacentral:lncRNA from 1 species
AAUAGUAACUUUUAAAUGCUUUAGUUGAAAGAAGAGUAUACACUUCUUUCUAUACACUAGAAAUACACAAGUGUAUACACUAGAAAUUAUCUCUAAAUACAGCUAGAAAAUGCAAGUUAUUAAUGCACAAGAUUCAGAUUUAGGAACAAGCAGAGUCCACUUCACGAUCUAAGAAGUACAGCACUUGGAAAUGAACAGCUUUAGAAAAUAAGCUGCCAAGCUUUAUGUUUUAACAAAUUUUUAAGGCAAUCUACUUGGUAAAUAUGAUUUAUAAAUACUAAAUAUUUUAUAAAAGUACAUGUUGAAAUCAUAAAACUUUCUAAAUGAAUUGUCUUUCAAAAUACUUUCACUAAUCAAGAAAGUAUGUAGGCUUUCAAUACUUACAAUAGAAAAAAAAAAUAUUUUGAGACAUAUUUGGCUAGUCCUUUAAAUUUGAUGGACCAAAGAAUGGCUCUUAAUACAGAAUGAGAAGUAAAGCACCUGGGUAACAUUCCUUAUUAGUGCCAGCCUCUACUUCAUCUUAAUCCUUUCAAUACCAUAGCUCAUUGUCUUGAAGUUUAAAAACAUUCACUGCAGUUUUAUUCAAGGCAGUGCUAGUGGCUUAGUGCAAUGAGAGCUGUAUUGUUGGUUGUUUUUUGUUUUUAAUAGCAUGAAAUUGAACUUUUUUUUUUUCCCCUGAAAAACAAAUAAAAAGAGGAUAUAAGGGAUUAUUUCUUCCUUUUCUUAAUUGUUAAAAUCAAAUACAUUUUAUCUGGAAUGGAAAUCAGUUUGCUUAAAAACUAAGGCAUGUCAUUCUUAAAAAAAAGGUAAUCUUUUGAUUCAGCUGGGAAGAGAGAUUGCUCAGAUGGUCUGAGAAAUACCCGUCUUUGGAGAUAUUCAAAACUCAAUUGGAUGAGAGCUGGAAUGACUUAAUUAACUGGGAUGUUAACCCUGGUUGGAGUAUGGGCUUGACUAGAUGACUUGUAGGCUAAGUUGUUAUGUUACUGUAUGGCUAAAAAAAGGAAUAGAAAUUUGCAAGGAAAAAACAACUUUUUCAUGAGCAAGAUAGUACUGACAACCUGAAUGUACAGAGAACUUAGUAUUAUAUAUAUACUUAGUAUUUUAUGAAUUUGAUAAGUGAGUGAGAUAUCUAUGUAUAGAUUAUUGUGAUCUUUAGAUGUGGAAUUACAGUAGAUGCAAAACUGGGCUCAAAGGAAAGAAAAGAUGUUAGUAUAAAAAGAAACUGAAGACUAUGUUAAAUACCCUGUGCGUCUGUAUAACAGUAGUUAAUGUUGAAAGCAAGCAUUAGGGACCAUUUAUGUCUGUUUGAAAAAAAUCUAUGUGAGCCUAAGAAGUCCACCAUAUGAUCAGAAAAGUGGUAUCAAAUGUUUGGAAGAAUUUGUAUCUGCUGGAAGAAAUAGCUCUCAUCAUGCAAAAUGGCACGUGUAUUUUGGGCUGUUUCAGACUUUGGAUUUCCAUGAGAAAAGAAAAUGACAAAAGUGGUUUCUACUGACCAGGGAAGAAGAGUUAAUGCUCCAAAAAUAAACUUUUCUGAUUCAGUUUUUAUUGAGCACUGGAACAGUCUCCCCAGAAGUAUGGUCACUGUACCAAGCCUAUUGAAACUCAAGAAGCGUUUGGACAACAAUAGACAGUUUCAUUUUUAUUUAGUCCUUUGUGGAGCCAAGAGUUGGACAUAAUGACCCUUGUCCCUUCAAACUCUAGAUAUUCUGCAGCAUUUAAGAAAUAUAUUCAAUUUUUUUUAAUUUUUUAACUUGCCUAUGAUUUAAUAAUGAUAUCUCCCAGGGCAAGAGAGAGACAUCUAGAUGAACAUAUAAGUGCAUCUUUCUCCUGUUAGUUCAGUUGCCAGCAAUGAAUACAAAACACCAUUAAACUUCUAGGUUAGGUUGACUCGACCUUCAAAAUCUUUUCAAACCUAAAUGUUUCUAUGUCUUUAUACUAUGUCUUUAUAAUUCUAUGGUGCAAUUGCAGAGAUAUGUACCAUCAUCAAAAAACUCAACCAAGGAAUUUAUGUAAAGGCACAUAAGAACAUAAAAAGAAGUUAAUGCUUUUCAUAUCUUUUCUAUU